rnacentral:rRNA from 1 species
CUUUACUGUAUACUGAAAUUGAAUUAAAAUUUUAUUAGCGUAGAAUAAGUGGGAGAUUAUGAUAUUAUUUUUUAGGAAAUAAUUGAAUCGUUAAUGAAAUACCACUCUUAUAAAAUUAAAAAAUUCUAAUUUUAUAUCAUUAUAUGAUUAAAAAACAGUUUUAGAUAGACAGUUUGACUGGGGCGGUCGCCUCCUAAAAAGUAACGGAGGCGUACAAAGGUUUUCUCAAAUCGGUCAGAAAUCGAUUGAAGAAUAUAAAGGUAUAAGAAAGCUUAACUGUAAGACAAACAAGUCAAACAGAAACGAAAGUUGGUCUUAAUGACCUAACGAUACUUUAUGGAAAGAUCGUUAAUCAACGGAUAAAAGUUA